rnacentral:rRNA from 1 species
UGUAAGCGUAUACCAAAGUUGUUGCAGUUAAAACGCUCGUAGUCGGAAUUUGGCAGUUCCGGAUGUGUGCACGUCGUGUGCGCACUUCGCGGGGAUUGCUUUUGUGGUCUUGCGUAGGAUGAGGCACUUUUAUUAGUGAACGUCCUCACGCAACCACUUUUUACUGUGAGAAAAUCAGAGUGCUCAAAGCAGGCAUUUGCCGUGAAUGUAUUAGCAUGGAAUAAUAGAAUAGGACUUGGUUCUAUUUUGUUGGUUUGUUGGGACUGAGUAAUGAUUAAGAGGGACAGUUGGGGGCAUUUGUAUUUCGGUGCUAGAGGUGAAAUUCUUAGAUUACCGAAAGACAAACUGCCGCGAAGGCGUCUGCCAAGGAUGUUUUCAUUGA